rnacentral:rRNA from 1 species
UACGGAGGGAGCUAGCGUUAUUCGGAAUUACUGGGCGUAAAGCGCGCGUAGGCGGCUUUGUAAGUUAGAGGUGAAAGCCUGGAGCUCAACUUCAGAAUUGCCCUUAAGACUGCAUCGCUUGAAUCCAGGAGAGGUGAGUGGAAUUCCGAGUGUAGAAGUGAAAUUCGUAGAUAUUCGGAAGAACACCGGUGGCGAAGGCGGCUCACUGGACUGGUAUUGACGCUGAUGUGCGAAAGCGUGGGGAGCAAACAGG